AGAGUUUGAUCCUGGCUCAGGCGGCAGCCACCAUGCAGUCGAGCGGUAGCACAGGGGAGCUUGCUCCCCGGGUGACGAGCGGCGGACGGGUGAGUAAUGUCUGGGAAACUGCCUGAUGGAGGGGGAUAACUACUGGAAACGGUAGCUAAUACCGCAUAACGUCGCAAGACCAAAGAGGGGGACCUUCGGGCCUCUUGCCAUCAGAUGUGCCCAGAUGGGAUUAGCUAGUAGGUGGGGUAAUGGCUCACCUAGGCGACGAUCCCUAGCUGGUCUGAGAGGAUGACCAGCCACACUGGAACUGAGACACGGUCCAGACUCCUACGGGAGGCAGCAGUGGGGAAUAUUGCACAAUGGGCGCAAGCCUGAUGCAGCCAUGCCGCGUGUGUGAAGAAGGCCUUCGGGUUGUAAAGCACAUUCAGCGAGGAGGAAGGUGGUGAACUUAAUACGUUCAUCAAUUGACGUUACUCGCAGCAGAAGCACCGGCUAACUCCGUGCCAGCAGCCGCGGUAAUACGGAGGGUGCAAGCGUUAAUCGGAAUUACUGGGCGUAAAGCGCACGCAGGCGGUUUGUUAAGUCAGAUGUGAAAUCCCCGGGCUCAACCUGGGAACUGCAUUUGAAACUGGCAAGCUAGAGUCUCGUAG
rnacentral:rRNA from 1 species